rnacentral:rRNA from 1 species
AAAGCUCGUAGUUGGAUUUCUGUUAAUAAUUUAUAUAUUAUACUUUUUAAGGUGUUUAUAUAAUAUUAACAUAAUUCAUAUUACUAUAUUUUUUUAGUAUAUGAAAUUUUACUUUGAGAAAAUUAGAGUGCUUAAAGCAGGCGUUAGCCUUGAAUACUCCAGCAUGGAAUAAUAUUAAAGAUUUUUAUCUUUCUUAUUGGUUCUAAGAUAAGAAUAAUGAUUAAUA